rnacentral:rRNA from 1 species
GUCUACGGGGGGCAGCAGUGGGGAAUAUUGCACAAUGGGGGAAACCCUGAUGCAGCAACGCCGCGUGAGUGAGGAAGUAUUUCGGUAUGUAAAGCUCUAUCAGCAGGGAAUAGAAAAGAAGGUACCUGAAAAAGAAGCCCCGGCUAACUACGUGCCAGCAGCCGCGGUAAUACGUAGGGGGCAAGCGUUAUCCGGAUUUACUGGGUGUAAAGGGAGCGUAGACGGGAAUACAAGUUGGUUGUGAAAUCCCUCGGUUUAACUGAGGAACUGCAACAAAAACUAUAUUUCUUGAGUGCAGGAGAGGA